rnacentral:rRNA from 1 species
AGAGUUUGAUCCUGGCUCAGGACGAACGCUGGCGGCGUGCUUAACACAUGCAAGUCGAACGAGAAUCUUUUUAACAGAAGCCUUCGGGUGAAAGACUAAAAGAGGAAAGUGGCGAACGGGUGAGUAACGCGUGAGCAACCUACCUUACACAACGGGAUAGCCGUGGGAAACCGCGAUUAAUACCGUAUGAUACUAUGGAAACGAGUGUUAUCGUAGUUAAAGAUUUAUCGGUGUAAGAUGGGCUCGCGUCUGAUUAGCUAGUUGGUGAGAUAAAAGCUCACCAAGGCUACGAUCAGUAACCGGCUUGAGAGAGUGAACGGUCACAUUGGAACUGAGACACGGUCCAAACUCCUACGGGAGGCAGCAGUGGGGAAUCUUGCACAAUGGGGGCAACCCUGAUGCAGCGACGCCGCGUGAGCGAUGAAGGCCUUCGGGUCGUAAAGCUCUGUCCUUGAUAAAGAUAAUGACGGUAAUCAAGGAGGAAGCACCGGCUAAAUACGUGCCAGCAGCCGCGGUAAUACGUAUGGUGCGAGCGUUGUCCGGAAUUAUUGGGCGUAAAGGGUACGUAGGCUGUUUAUCAAGUCAGAUGUUAAAGCGUGAGGCUCAACCUCAUAAAGCAUUUGAAACUGGUAGACUUGAGUAGUGGAGAGGAAAGUGGAAUUCCUAGUGUAGCGGGUGAAAUGCGUAGAUAUUAGGAGG